UCCCAGCAGUCCAAGUCGCAGCCACAUUUGUUGGGUCUAAAAUAUCCGUAGCUUGCCUUUCAAGUCUUUUGUGAAAUCGGGACUCUUAAGGUUCCGGCGGGCAAAAGAUACUGUUUGGCUAGAGACCGGGAGGCGUAAGAAGUACAUAUAGGGUAACGGUAAAAUGUGUUGAUCCUAUAUGGACUAACAGUCGCGAAGGCGUCUUACGAGAACGGUUCUGACAGUGAGGGAUGAAGGCUAGGGGCGCAAAGUG
rnacentral:rRNA from 1 species